GACGAACGCUGGCGGCGUGCUUAACACAUGCAAGUCGAACGAUGAUGCUCCAGCUUGCUGGGGUGGAUUAGUGGCGAACGGGUGAGUAACACGUGAGUAACCUGCCCCCUUCUUCGGGAUAAGCUUGGGAAACUGGGUCUAAUACUGGAUAUUCUGCAAUUGUCGCAUGGUGGUUGUGGGAAAGAUUUUUUGGUGGGGGAGGGGCUCGCGGCCUAUCAGCUUGUUGGUGGGGUGAUGGCCUACCAAGGCGUCGACGGUUAGCCGGCCUGAGAGGGUGACCGGCCAUACGGGGCUGGGAAGAGGGCCAAGGCCGCUAGGGGGAGGGAAGGUGGGGAAAUGGGCGAAAGGGGGGCAGAGUUGAGGCGGGGGAGGGAGGGGGGGGGUAGGGGCUUUGGGGUUUUAAACCUGUUAAGAAGGGAAACGAGGCUAAAUUUUUGGGUGGUGGGGGGUACCGGUAAAAAAAGCCCGGGCAAAUUAGGG
rnacentral:rRNA from 1 species